UACGGAGGAUGCAAGCGUUAUCCGGAUUCAUUGGGUUUAAAGGGUGCGUAGGCGGACUAUUAAGUCAGUGGUGAAAGCCUGCAGCUUAACUGCAGAACUGCCAUUGAUACUGAUAGUCUUGAGUUUGGUUAAGGUAGGCGGAAUGUAUAAUGUAGCGGUGAAAUGCUUAGAUAUUACACAGAACACCAAUUGCGUAGGCAGCUUACUGAGCCGACACUGACGCUGAGGCACGAAAGCGUGGGGAUCGACAGGA
rnacentral:rRNA from 1 species